CCAUAGUCAUGGCGGAUUUAAUUUACAUUCGCGUGCAUUGACAGAUUGACACUAACAGUGACAGUUCCUCCAAGUGGAGUUAAAGAAAAAGAAUAAUUGGAGAAAUCGAGCCUUGGAACGUGCCACAAUAGCUACAGGAGUGGCGCCGCGCACACUCCAAAGAAUAAAAAAAGAAGCAGAGAGAAUCAAAGCAGCUGCAUUAGUUGAUGGAUCUUCAGACACAGACACAAUUAAUUUCCCAACUCCAAAAAGAAAAACCCCCAAAAGGAGAUUAGGUAUAGAUGAUGCUAUGAUAGAAGGCAUAAGAAAAAUCAUCUGCAGAUUUCAAACCGAGAAACAAAACAUAACUUUAAAAAAAAUCUUAUUUGCUGCUCAGAAUGAGUACAAUUUUCCAGGAAAAAUGAACACAUUGCGUAGAAUUUUGAAAGACAAACUGGGGUGCAAGUUCAAAAAAUGUGACAAACGUCGCUGGGAACUGAUAAUGGAAAAGCCUCAAGAUCUUGGACAGCAAGUGCAGGUUGGCAGUAACCCAUCAGGAGAUUUUGAACAGAUAAUAGUACCAGUACAGCCAGGGUUAAUAUUGCUUUAAAUUAGUGUAGUUUUUGUUUAAAAAUAAAAAGUAUCUGAAUUA